UACGAAGGGGGCUAGCGUUGCUCGGAAUCACUGGGCGUAAAGGGUGCGUAGGCGGGUCUUUAAGUCGGGGGUGAAAGCCCGGGGCUCAACCUCGGAAUUGCCUUCGAUACUGGGUAUCUUGAGUUCGGGAGAGGUGAGUGGAAUGCCGAGUGUAGAGGUGAAAUUCGUAGAUAUUCGGCGGAACACCAGUGGCGAAGGCGACUCACUGGCCCGAUACUGACGCUGAUGCGCGAAAGCGUGGGGAGCAAACAGG
rnacentral:rRNA from 1 species